CCCUGACUGUACACAGACUUUGCUGUCCGGGUCAUCAAAGAUUUUUCAGUUACCACCCAUCCUACGCAGUCCGAGUCAAGCACCUCCUCCUCGCGGUCUGUUUCAGAGCGCCCCCUCAAACACGGCUGGGAGCUACUAGCCUAACACAAGCUAACUAGUCAAGCGUGAGACCGAGACAUUAUCAAGAAAACAUCAAACUAGCUAGCUACCUAUUGGCCAGUCAUGGCAGCAAUCCGAAAGAAACUGGUCAUAGUGGGAGACGGAGCGUGCGGGAAGACCUGUCUGCUCAUCGUAUUCAGUAAAGACCAGUUCCCAGAGGUCUACGUGCCCACUGUCUUCGAGAACUAUGUCGCUGACAUUGAGGUCGACAGCAAACAGGUUGAGUUGGCACUAUGGGAUACAGCAGGCCAGGAGGACUAUGAUAGGCUCCGUCCCCUCUCUUACCCAGAUACUGAUGUCAUCCUCAUGUGCUUCUCCAUUGAUAGCCCCGACAGUUUGGAAAACAUCCCGGAGAAGUGGACUCCAGAAGUCAAACACUUCUGCCCUAACGUUCCCAUUAUCCUAGUGGGCAACAAAAGGACCUGCGUAACGACGAGCACACCCGCAGAGAGCUAGCCAAGAUGAAGCAGGAGCCUGUGAAGCCAGAGGAGGGGCGUGACAUGGCGAACCGGAUCAGUGCCUUCGGCUACAUGGAGUGCUCCGCAAAGAGCAAGGAUGGGGUGAGGGAAGUGUUUGAGAUGGCCACGAGGGCGGCGCUACAGGCCCGGCGGGGGAAGCAGAGACAUAAAUGCCUCCUACUGUAAAAGGAGGGAAGGCGUGAGGGACACGGCCUCCCACUGGGUACAAGGGGAAAGAUGGAAGAUAAGAAAUUAGGUCUAUUCCCCCCUUCGCUCCAAAAAAGACUGUGCUCACCAGUUUUUACUAAAGGUGUAAUGCUUUUAAUUUUCUGUCUUAAAGCAAAACAAGUUAAAUAGUCAUGGUUUUGUCAGUAUUCAAUGUUGAUGAUGGGGGUUAUGGAAAUGCUUUUUGUACUUGUACAUGAGUGAAUCUGCCAUAUCAACAUUUCCCUUGUGAACCUGUACGGCCAUGUAACUGAUGUAGUCAGCCAGAGGUGUGUGUAAUCAUUAGUCCAAAACGUUUUGCAAUGGAAACUUAAUUUCUAAUGGACAAAUUCAGGUCGGUCCCUCCCUGUUUUUGAUCUGUUUGGUUCUUAGUGAAUACACCCCAGGGGAUCUAUUGUUGUCAUACCUGCCAAUUAAGUGCUUGAGCCCUGCCCACUGAACUGAGGAUCAUUUCCACAGCCAAUCAGGGAGGGGUACCUAUACACUGUGACCCAUAGUCUUUAUGAUUCUUUUGUAAUUUUUGAUUUAUGCACAGGCAUAAAAUUGUUGAAAUAAAUGUGCUUCAUAUAAAA